AAACCUACGAGAAGUGCAACACCAAUGCCUGGCGUUUAAACAGUCACCGCAAGGUGCUUUCGGAGUCCGAACAGGAAGCGAAAGGAAGAGGUCAACGCAUCAAAAAGAGGAAACACAUCUCAUCUGAUGAAACCGAUGAAUCAGAAGAAGAAACCCAAUCGAAAGUGUCAAAGAAGAAAAAACCAUCCUCAAAAUCUCAAAAGUCUGAGGAAAUGCGCGCAAAAUUGUUAGAAUUUGCCAAAGGUCUGAAAAAGACUGUGUUACCUCUGCCCCCUGAUAAUCGUCCUAAAACCUCAAAACCUAGCUCCUGUGCUGAAGAAUUUCGUCAAUCAACCGUCGCAUCAUCAUCCUCUUCGAAAGAUUCUGCCAAAAAAAUUUUACUUGUAGAUGAAGAUGGUCCAGAGGCCUUAGAUACGCCUUCCCCUCUUAAAAGACUAGCUGCAUCGCCCCUCAACACAGGCAAGCUCUCUCUAUCAAACCCAAAUCUCCAGACAAAUCACAGGGUCAAGAGUCCGUGAAGAAGCAUCUCUUUACAGAAAAAGAAGCCCCAAAGAAAGCGAAAUGUUCUAUUGGGAAGAAAGUUAAACACACAUGUGGAUUCUUGCUGCAGUGUGCGGGAAAUGAGGCGGUGAUGCACGUUUUAUGCAAAAUCUCUGCUGAUGUGACAACCGUCCUGCAUUAUCAAAAACGAGCAAAAUUAGCUACUCCUGCUCCUGGACAGGAUGCUGAGAAGAAAAAUGUUGAAGAAGUGGCUCUGCCAGACUGCCUUCUGAGUAUUUUACCCUGCCUAACCAAGGAAGAUUUAUUGAAAGCGGAGGAACGCCUCAAGGAUGAAACGCUCUUGAACAUUGUGGUCCAGCAUUUCGAGUCCCUGUUUCUAAAUGAUCAUGGGUUAACAAAAACAGCAAGAAACAUCACUCGAGAGUGGAUGGUGAAGGAGGUCCAAAAAUUAUACUCCUUAAAAGGAGGGCAUGCUCAGAAAAGAUUGAAAGUAGGAGAGCAAAAGAAAGAAGCUUUUAAUCAGUUAAGACUCUAUACUGUCAUCAAAAAAGUUGUUAAAAACCUGUAUGACCAAAGUGUAUCCAAUUACCGAGAGCAGAUGGACAACACAAUUGCGACCUUUUUAACCCGUGCGGAUGAAAAGAAGGAAGAAAAUCGUGCAUAA
rnacentral:lncRNA from 1 species